rnacentral:rRNA from 1 species
UACAGAGGUGGCAAGCGUUGUUCGGAAUUACUGGGCGUAAAGGGCGCGUAGGCGGCUUGGCAAGUGGAAGGUGAAAUCCCUCGGCUUAACCGAGGAACUGCCCUCCAAACUGCUUCGCUUGAGACCGGGAGAGGUGAGUGGAAUUCCCAGUGUAGCGGUGAAAUGCGUAGAUAUCAGGAGGAACACCGGUGGCGAAGGCGGGUCUCUGGGCCGAUACUGACGCUGAGGAGCGAAGCGUGGGGAGCGAACAGG